AUGAACGCUGGCGGCGUGCCUAAUACAUGCAAGUCGAGCGCACGGACGAGAAGCUUGCUUCUCUGAUGUUAGCGGCGGACGGGUGAGUAACACGUGGAUAACCUACCUAUAAGACUGGGAUAACUUCGGGAAACCGGAGCUAAUACCGGAUAAUAUUUUGAACCGCAUGGUUCAAAAGUGAAAGACGGUCUUGCUGUCACUUAUAGAUGGAUCCGCGCUGCAUUAGCUAGUUGGUAAGGUAACGGCUUACCAAGGCAACGAUGCAUAGCCGACCUGAGAGGGUGAUCGGCCACACUGGAACUGAGACACGGUCCAGACUCCUACGGGAGGCAGCAGUAGGGAAUCUUCCGCAAUGGGCGAAAGCCUGACGGAGCAACGCCGCGUGAGUGAUGAAGGUCUUCGGAUCGUAAAACUCUGUUAUUAGGGAAGAACAUAUGUGUAAGUAACUGUGCACAUCUUGACGGUACCUAAUCAGAAAGCCACGGCUAACUACGU
rnacentral:rRNA from 1 species